rnacentral:rRNA from 1 species
GACGAACGCUGGCGGCGUGCUUAACACAUGCAAGUCGAACGCUGAAGCUCAGCUUUUGUUGGGUGGAUGAGUGGCGAACGGGUGAGUAACACGUGAGUAACCUGCCCCCUUCUUUGGGAUAACGCCCGGAAACGGGUGCUAAUACUGGAUAUUCACUGGUCUUCGCAUGGGGGUUGGUGGAAAGGGUUUUUCUGGUGGGGGAUGGGCUCGCGGCCUAUCAGCUUGUUGGUGGGGUGAUGGCCUACCAAGGCUUUGACGGGUAGCCGGCCUGAGAGGGUGACCGGUCACAUUGGGACUGAGAUACGGCCCAGACUCCUACGGGAGGCAGCAGUGGGGAAUAUUGCACAAUGGGCGCAAGACUGAUGCAGCGACGCCGCGUGAGGGAUGGAGGCCUUCGGGUUGUGAACCUCUUUCGCUCAUGGUCAAGCCGCAACAAUGGUUGUGGUGAGGGUAGUGGGUAAAGAAGCGCCGGCUAACUACGUG